rnacentral:lncRNA from 1 species
GGGACUUCUGACUUUACCAGUGAAGCCACCCGUGCAUGAAAAACCUUCUCUGCCCCUCUGCAUAGGAACAGGACAGUUAUUCAGAAAAAAAAAAAAAAGUUUGUUUAAAGAUUAAAACAAAAUGUCAUGUUAUUUUCUCUUGGACAAAGUGUGUGGUUUUCACUUGUGUAUGUGGCUUGACGUGCACUAUCUACAUCGUUUGAACCCCAACUCCCACAGAGAACACUCCAGCACACCAGUCCAUCUGUUGCAGGAUCAUAGGAGGACUUCCUUUUGCAUUGAGCUAAGUAAGGCGGCUUGGCUCCUCCAACCCCUUCACUUUAACUGGUCAUUCUUGGCUCUGUUGCCACUCACAACAUCCCAACCACUUUCUUCUCUCUGAAGAGUCUCUGCAACAAGCCUAUGUAGAUUGUCACUCUUUUUGCCCCAGUUUUUCUCAUGACUAGCUUUGGAAUGUUGUGUCUGAAUCCUGACUACAGUGUGCUCAGCAGGGGGAGGGAGAACUAUGCAGAUCUUAUAAAAUACAAAGAAAAAGUAUUGUGCCAUAUACCUUUUGUCUUUGUGUUUGUAAUUUAGGUUUGAGAAUACCUAAACUCUUACCUUUUCAGUUCCAAAAACAACAGUCUUUGGAAUCAAGCAUAUGUGAACUGAAGCUAUGGAAGGUGACCAUAGACAAGCUAACUUUCUGCCAAGUAGGAAGGGAAGGAACAGACUCAUAUUGGGGUGUCAGAGCCUCAGGAGGUCUGCCGCAGGACACACAGCACAGGUUUUUACACACAGAGGCGGCUGCUGCAGGAUGCAUAGCACAGAGCCUUAACAUAGAAAGCAGCUUCCAUUCUCCUACUAACAAGGCUGCCUUGGCAUUCUUUUGUUUUGUUGAUUUUUAUAAAAUACACUUUAAGCUCUACUGUAGGAUAUGCUUUCAAAUUUUUUAUAAGAAUGCCAGAAGUCUAAAAUGUAAGACCUUAAAGGGUCUCAGACACGGUUGGAUGGUUUCUUGGUGAUUUGGUAGCAGGCAGUUAAACAUACUUGGUUUCUAACACAUUUAGGAGAAACUCUGAGUGAAGAUCACCAUAGCAAUAGUCCCCUUAAUUAGAGGACCAAAUAACAGGGAAUUCACUCCCAGUGCUUCUUGGUAGGAGGCAGAAUUCCCCCAAACACUGGAAGAGCAUAGGAAAUGGACCCCAAAGUCUCUCCAAAUUAAGGAAACUUACAAACUAAACCUACAUAUUUAAAAAAUAUCAGAAAUGUGUUCAUUUCUUUCUAUUUUACUGAGUGAAUGUUAAUUUUUCAGAGAAAAUAAAUACUUGAAAAAGUUACAUUUUCUAAUGGAUUUACAUGUUUCACUUUAGAAGCAUAAACCCAUUCAUUUAGCAAUAGUGUUAUUUGUGAACAUAUUAACUAUUUUGGGAGCCAUCAAUAACCAUCUAGGACUAUACAGCCAUUUUUCCCCAACGAGUUUUGUGCAGUAUUUAUUUAUUUUUGUAGGAUUUCAAAUUCAUUUUCCAUGUAAUUUCUGCAAAGAUAAAGAUUUAUAGCCUUUGAGGUAUGUAUUAGAGCAUUUGAGUAAACUUUGAAUAGGUAAUUUUAUAAUCUUAAAAUGAAAUGUAGAGGGGCUAGAAAGGUAGAUUCCAUGGCUAAGAGUGCUUGCUGCUCUUACAGGGAACCCACAUUAUUAGUUCCCAACCCCACACUGAGUGGUUCGAAAUUGUCUGUCUGAAACUCUAGCUCCAGGGACGCUAACACCCUCUCCUGGUCUCCGAGGACACUUGUGUACAUGUGCACAAACACACACAUAUCAACAUACAAACAUUCACAUAAUUAAUACUAUAAAAAAAGAAAUCUUUAAGAUAACAACUGAGAUCAUUGUAGAUAUUCAGAUAUUCAAAAUAUAAGGAAUAGAAGGCAUCCAUAUUCUGCCAUAUGAAAAUAAUUAACAUCCUAAUGUACUACCCCCCAGGUGGUGUUUGUUUAUUUGCUGUUGUUUGGUUUUUGUUUUGUUUUGUUAGAAUACUGUUAGACAUUUAUGAUUAUGAAAAUAUGUCUACUUCAAAAGUCACCAAAUACUAGACUUGUGUAUUAUAGGAUAGAAACGGAUGUUAGCCAAGCAAUAUGAGUUGAUUUAAAAAUAAGAAUAUCUGAAUUACAGGGGAGACCGUAAUGGUUUUGAGUUUCUUAGAACAGGGUCUUCUCAACUUAAAUAGGAAAGGUGGCUUUCCUUAAGUGAAAUAAGAUUACAAAGAAAGGUGUGUGAGCUAUAAAGAAAAUGUUCACAUUACCCAAUGGUAGCUAACAAAUAAGGAAACUACUCAGAUGUGCUGUGUUAUGGCCUUGCAGAAUUCAGAGAAAAGUUCCUUGUUUUCAGUGACUCCAACUUGAAUAUCUAUCCUUAGGGUCACAUUACCAUCACUAACUUACAAUGUAAGAAGAUGGAAGAUUCUUAGACAUACGUUAAGGUCUACUCUAAGGCUCUUCACUUGGUCCUAGAUCUUGAAGAUCACUUUGUACUGAGUUUAUCUUUAUGGACUCUUCAUAGUAUGGCCCGUUUGUCUCUAUAUUUCUUGUGCUGAAUCACACUUCAUUCCAUUAACAUU